rnacentral:rRNA from 1 species
AUACGGAGGGUGCAAGCGUUAUUCGGAAUCACUGGGCGUAAAGGACGCGUAGGCGGGUUGGCAAGUCAGAUGUGAAAUCCUACAGCUUAACUGUAGAACUGCAUUUGAAACUGCUAACCUAGAGUAUUAGAGGGGGAGAUGGAAUUAGUGGUGUAGGGGUAAAAUCCGUAGAUAUCACUAGGAAUACCGAAAGCGAAGGCGAUCUCCUGGAACAUAACUGACGCUAAGGCGUGAAAGCGUGGGGAGCAAACGGGAUUAGAAACCCUAGUAGUCC